rnacentral:rRNA from 1 species
GACUUCCUACGGGGGGCAGCAGUGGGGGAUAUUGCACAAUGGGGGAAACCCUGAUGCAGCGACGCCGCGUGUGGGAAGACGGUCCUCUGGAUUGUAAACCACUGUCCCCAGGGACGAAGAUGACGGUACCUGGGGAGGAAGCUCCGGCUAACUACGUGCCAGCAGCCGCGGUAAUACGUAGGGAGCGAGCGUUGUCCGGAUUUAUUGGGUGUAAAGGGUACGUAGACGGAGAAGCAAGUUAGUUGUGAAAUCCCUCGGCUUAACUGAGGAACUGCAACUAAAACUACUUCCCUUGAGUACUGGAG